UACGUAGGGGGCAAGCGUUGUCCGGAAUUAUUGGGCGUAAAGAGCGUGUAGGCGGCCAGAUAAGUCCGCUGUGAAAUCUCGAGGCUCAACUUCGAGCUGUCGGUGGAAACUAUCUGGCUAGAGUCCGGAAGAGGAGAAUGGAAUUCCUGGUGUAGCGGUGAAAUGCGCAGAUAUCAGGAAGAACACCCGUGGCGAAGGCGGAUCUCUGGGCCUUACCUGACGCUGAGGCGCGAAAGCUAGGGGAGCAAACAGG
rnacentral:rRNA from 1 species